rnacentral:misc_RNA from 1 species
UUUCCGUAGGUGAACCUGCGGAAGGAUCAUUCAUAAUAAGUGUUUUAUGGCAUUUUUUUAUAUCCAUAUCCCCCUUGUGUGCAAUGUCAGGGUUGAUUUUUCUCUCGUGAAGAUCAGCCCCAAAUAUCAACUAUAUCUCUUCUCUUUCUCUGAAAAAUAUUAUGAAUAAAACAAUCUAACAUACAACUUUCAACAACGGAUCUCUUGGCUCUC